rnacentral:lncRNA from 1 species
ACCUCCAAGCCUCAUUUCUUCAACUGAGACCUGCAAAGCCUUUGUGGUAAAUCAAAUGAUGCAUGCAGCGUUAGAACAUUUACAAUGAAAGGAAAUGACGGCCUCUAUGAUGACCAUGCCUCAGCUUCCCACACCCCAGCAGAGUUUGGAUCACCAUCGGUCUGUGCUUCUGAAGAGGCUUCUCUUAAAGUGCCCUGGAAGUGUGUAUCCACAUAGCUGACAUUCACUCUAGAAGUGAAAAUAGUAUUUUGUUUGACCCAAAGAUAGUGAGGAUAAAGGUAAGGGAAACUCAUCUGAGAAUGAUUUCUUAGGUUAAAUGAGCUGAGACCCGUUAACAGUUGAGUCAGGGGUUGGCUCUGGUGUUGAUGAGAAACAACUGGGGUCAGAGAUUCAGUUUCCAGGACAGGUGUCAUAAGACUGGUCUUCCCAAAGCAAAUGUGCCUUCUUGGUUUGGAAAGAGAUCCCUGGGGAUAAGGCCUGGAGUGAGGUGAGUCAGGAUGCACCUGGGUGGGCAGUGGAGAGUCAGGACACAGAGAGGCCUGAAGCAGCAACACAGUGACUGGGGAGGAAGAAGUGGGGAUGGGGCUGCCCAGGCUUGUGCCAGAGUCAGGCCCCCAGCCACUGAGGAGCCCAGCCUGAUUCAGGAGCUCCAGGAUCCUAUGCCAAGAACCAGCCUCUAUGCCAAGAGUCAGGUGAAAGUGUUCAAACUAGCCAACAGUUACUCCCAGGAAUGGGGAACUUGCAGCAAGGAGACUCCAGGUCAGAAGAGAAGCUGGGACAGGUGUCACUCCAAGAAAGACUAGGGGUAACAAUGACGUGAGCUUCUGCCUCUGUGCGACCCCAUGGACGGCAGCGACCCCAUAGAUGGCAGCCCACCAGGCUCCUCCGUCCCUGGGAUUCUCNNNNNNNNNNNNNNNNNNNNNNNNNNNNNNNNNNNNNNNNNNNNNNNNNNGUGAAGAGUGAAAGUGAAGUUGCUCAGUCGUGUCCGACUCUUAGCAACCCAAUGGGCUGCAGCCUACCAGGCUCCUCCACCCAUGGGAUUUUUCCAGGCUAGAGUACUGGAGUGGGUUGCCAUUGCCUUCUCCAAAAGAGCACCUAUAAUAUAGGGGAAAUAAAUCCAUCUACUAACCUUAGAGCUUCUGCCAAAUGAGUAAGGAGCCUUCUCCAGGGUUUGAAGCACCAGUGAGCACCAC